AGAACGAACGCUGGCGGCAUGCCUAACACAUGCAAGUCGAACGAGACCUUCGGGUCUAGUGGCGCACGGGUGCGUAACGCGUGGGAAUCUGCCCUUGGGUUCGGAAUAACAGCGAGAAAUUGCUGCUAAUACCGGAUGAUGACGUAAGUCCAAAGAUUUAUCGCCCAAGGAUGAGCCCGCGUAGGAUUAGCUUGUUGGUGAGGUAAGAGCUCACCAAGGCGACGAUCCUUAGCUGGUCUGAGAGGAUGAUCAGCCACACUGGGACUGAGACACGGCCCAGACUCCUACGGGAGGCAGCAGUGGGGAAUAUUGGACAAUGGGCGAAAGCCUGAUCCAGCAAUGCCGCGUGAGUGAUGAAGGCCUUAGGGUUGUAAAGCUCUUUUACCCGGAUGAUAAUGACAGUACCGGAGAAUAAGCUCCGGCUAACUCCGUGCCAGCAGCCGAC
rnacentral:rRNA from 1 species